GCAGUCGACGGAUCCUUCGGGAUUAGUGGCGGACGGGUGAGUAACACGUGGGAACGUGCCCUUUGGUUCGGAACAACUCAGGGAAACUUGAGCUAAUACCGGAUGUGCCCUUCGGGGGAAAGAUUUAUCGCCAUUGGAGCGGCCCGCGUCUGAUUAGCUAGUUGGUGAGGUAAAGGCUCACCAAGGCGACGAUCAGUAGCUGGUCUGAGAGGAUGAUCAGCCACAUUGGGACUGAGACACGGCCCAAACUCCUACGGGAGGCAGCAGUGGGGAAUCUUGCGCAAUGGGCGAAAGCCUGACGCAGCCAUGCCGCGUGAAUGAUGAAGGUCUUAGGAUUGUAAAAUUCUUUCACCGGGGACGAUAAUGACGGUACCCGGAGAAGAAGCCCCGGCUAACUUCGUGCCAGCAGCCGCGGUAAUACGAAGGGGGCUAGCGUUGCUCGGAAUUACUGGGCGUAAAGGGAGCGUAGGCGGACUGUUUAGUCAGAGGUGAAAGCCCAGGGCUCAACCUUGGAAUUGCCUUUGAUACUGGCAGUCUUGAGUACGGAAGAGGUAUGUGGAACUCCGAGUGUAGAGGUGAAAUUCGUAGAUAUUCGGAAGAACACCAGUGGCGAAGGCGACAUACUGGUCCGUUACUGACGCUGAGGCUCGAAAGCGUGGGGAGCAAACAGGAUUAGAUACCCUGGUAGUCCACGCCGUAAACGAUGAGUGCUAGUUGUCGGCAUGCAUG
rnacentral:rRNA from 1 species